rnacentral:tRNA from 1 species
GUGGGCGUAGCUCAAUAGGUAGAGCUCCAGGUUGUGGUCCUGGCGGUUGCCGGUUCAAGUCCGGUCGUCCACC